rnacentral:rRNA from 1 species
CCCUUAGAUGUUCUGGGCCGCACGCGCGCUACACUGAUGCAUUCAACGAGUCUAAAACCUGCUCUGAUAGGGGUGGGUAAUCUUUUGAAUGUGCAUCGUGAUUGGGAUAGAUGAUUGCAAUUUUUCAUCUUCAACGAGGAAUGCCUGGUAAACGCAAGUCAUCAGCUUGCAUUGAUUACGUCCCUGCCCUUUGUACACACCGCCCGUCGCUCCUACCGAUUGAAUGAUCCGAUGAAUAUCAUGGAUUGAGGAUGCAAGUAGGUUCGCCUAUCUUCAUCUUCGAGAAGUGAAGUAAAUCUUAUCAUUUAGAGGAAGGAGAAGUCGUAACA